CACAACUAAACCGAGUUUUGGUUAAUGCUUUGUCUGAUAUCGAAUGCAUUUGUCUAGUGAUAUUAUCUUCUCUGUUCUGAGUCUGUCAAAUCAUAUUUACACGAAAUGAAUUAUUUAAGAACCCAUUAUCUCUGCUACAGUUGCUGGAUGUGCAAAGCUGAGUGCGAUCUUUCUACCAGGUGCUACCCUGAGAGCGAUAAUUUGAAACUCAAGAUGAGUCCCAUCAGUGUGAACUGUGAAGAGUGAAGUCAGGAUGAGCUACAAUUAAACUAAAUUGAUUUCCCUUCCUCAAGGAGGUGGUGUGAUGGAAUGGGAGGGCCAUUAACAUCACGUUCAAAGGUCUUCUCUAAAAUGUGAGGCAUCUAGAGAUCAGCCACAUCCCAAGCAGGUUGAAAAAUGUUGGCAGGUACUGGAGGAGGAGACUUCUGCAUGAGGCUACUGAAGUUUGUCAGCUGUUGGGAAGCACCACUUUCUGAGAACUGCCUCCCUCUUCUAACCAUUACAUUCAGCUUUUGUGCAGCCCUAAAGACAAGGCAGCAGAGGUUCCUGAAGGUAGCAGAGAGGACAUACUGGAAGAACGGGCUGGCGGCGAGGCGCCGUAGUUGCAUAGGGCUGUAGAGGUCACAUUCUCCUUCUCAAAAACCUUUCCUGCAUGACAGAGAAUUUACCUUGGAUGUUUGUGUAAUGAAAUGGAGCUGGACUAAUGGACUAGGUCUGCCGUCAAGCUCUCGGUCAGCGUCGCAUAAAGAUCUGGUACUGAGUGCUUAUGGAGCUGUCUGAGAUGUUCACUCUCUGCCGCACUUUCAUAAUGCAUUCUCGUUUCAUCUGUAUUUACGAGCGCUGUGUAUGAAUAUUUCACUGGUCAUUAAAUAUUACAGCGAUAUUGA